GGAGAAAUGGCUGAGUGGCUUAAGGCAUUGGUUUGCUAAAUCAACGUGCAAUCUUGUUUUGCACCAUGGGUUCGAAUCCCGUUUUCUCC
rnacentral:tRNA from 1 species